CCUACGGGAGGCAGCAGUGAGGAAUAUUGGUCAAUGGGCGGGAGCCUGAACCAGCCAAGUCGCGUGAGGGAAGACGGUCCUAUGGAGUGUAAACCUCUUUAGGCGGGGAGCAAUGCCGGGCACGUGUGCCCGGAGGGAGAGUACCCGCAGAAUAAGCAUCGGCUAACUCCGUGCAAGCAGCAGCGGUAAUACGGAGGAUGAGAGCGUUAUCCGGAUUUGUUGGGUUAAAAGGUGGCGUAGGCGGAUUUUUAAGUCGGCGGUAAAAUGUCCGGGCUCAACCCGGGCCGGCCGUUGAAACUGGGGAUCUUGAGUGGGCGAGAAGUAUGCGGAAUGCGUGGUGUAGCGGUGACAUGCAUAGAUAUCACGCAGAACUCCGAUUGCGAAGGCAGCAUACCGGCGCCCGACUGACGCUGAGGCACGAAAGCGUGGGGAUCGAACAGGAUUAGAUACCCCAGUAGUC
rnacentral:rRNA from 1 species